rnacentral:rRNA from 1 species
UACGAAGGGGGCUAGGCGUUGUUCGGAAUUACGUGGGCGUAAAGCGCGCGUAGGCGGUGAUCUUUGUCAGAGGUGAAAGCCCGGGGCUCAACUCCGGAACUUGCCUUUGAAACGGGAUUGCUAGAGUCCGAGAGAGGAUGGCGGAAUUCCUAGUGGUAGAGGUGAAAUUCGUAGAUAUUAGGAAGAACACCGGUGGCGAAGGCGGCCAUCUGGCUCGGUACGUGACGCUCAGGCGCGAAAGCGUGGGAGCAAC